GUGUCAGCCGCCGCGGUAAUACGUAGGUGGCAAGCGUUGUCCGGAUUUACUGGGCGUAAAGGAUGUGUAGGCGGAUAUUUAAGUGAGAUGUGAAAACUAUCGGCUCAACUGAUAGACUGCAUUUGAAACUGUGGAGCUUGAGUGAAGUAGAGGCAGAUGGAAUUCCCGGUGUAGCGGUGAAAUGCGUAGAGAUCGGGAGGAACACCAGUGGCGAAGGCGAUCUGCUGGGUUU
rnacentral:rRNA from 1 species